rnacentral:rRNA from 1 species
UGUGUAGGCGGUGCUCUAAGUUCGGUGUGAAAUCUCCUGGCUUAACUGGGAGGGUGCGCCGAAAACUGGAGUGCUCGAGCGUGGGAGAGGAAAGCGGAAUUCCUGGUGUAGCGGUGAAAUGCGUAGAUAUCAGGAGGAACACCUGCGGUGUAGACGGCUUUCUGGACCAUUGCUGACGCUGAGACACGAAAGCGUGGGUAGCAAACA